CUCUCCAUGUACGAUCCCCAACCGCAGCUGGGACUAUAGCCAAAAGAAUUCGAGUACCCAUUACCGCGAGCCCUCCUAAUCCCCAACCGCAUCCGCCCUACGCCUCGUCCGAAGGCAGCGCCGCCAGCCCCCUCCAACGCCGCCGCGCCGCCAGCCCACUCCAACGCCACCGCCCGAUGCGUGGGCACCCUCCCCCUACGCGACCGGCGCCCUAAGCCAGGCGCGGCCUUGCAUCCCCAAACGCCGCCGCCCUAGGACGCUGCCCUGCAUCUCCAAUGUCGCGCCGCCCGUUGACCCGACGCGAGGACGCCUCUGCCUGAAUCGAGGACGUCGGCGCCCUGCACCACUGCUCCUCGAAGCCACACUACCUCUGAAGCCUGUCGGUGGUCAUCUUGCUGCGGGCUAAGCACAUGGAGAAGUUUGGGAAGAUUUGGUCAAGAUUCUCAAAAAGUAUGACAAGAGAACUGGGGUCCUUAUCCGUCUCCUCUUCAUUCAAAAUGUUCUGCUCCAACCUUUCUUCAACACUGACCUGCCAGCUUGUGGGGGAGUGCGAGGCUAUGCUCGACCAGCUCCUACCAUAUUGAGCAAACCAUCUGUAUUGAAUAAACAAGGAACAAAAGAUAUCAACACCAAGACAAGCCUCUAAACCCUGUUUCUUCCUUGGAUAGCAAUGGAUGCAUUCCAAAGCUUGAUUAGAUUGAGUUCAUGGAGAGCAUGUACAUGAAUAGCUUGAUGAGAUAGAUUGCAAAUUAUGUGCAAAUGUUAUGUCAUAUUGGGUGAUGUGAACGUAUCAUUGGUACACAUCCAGUUGUGCAAUAUGAAAUAUUUGUGGAAAAUACA